AAUAAGGGCUCAAGUGCAGGGACCAUGACAGGUCAGGCUGCGGAUGGGGCUACCCCUGGGCAUGGGGUCAGGGAGAGCAGCGUUCUGGAAUGGGGAAGAGCUAUUAUGGCUCCAUCUCCCCUGGGCCUAUUUGUGGGGAGGAGAGGGCAGCCAAGGGGAGGCCUGGCUGAAUCUGACGUAUGACUCAACUUCCUGCUUCAUUUCUGAUAGACCUGUCUCCUCCAAGGAAGACUUAAAUAUUUCAUUGUUUUCUUCCCUCUCUCUACCUAAGACAGGAGAAUGGGAGUAAUUAUGCUCUGGAGAAAGUGUGAGGAAGGACCUUCUGAGUCAGGGUGACUGUGAAGAUCUUUGUAAGAACACAACAGAUUGUAUCACAUUAAGGCAUUUCUUCUUUAUUUUGGAGCACAUAUUGCCUUUCUUGUUUGUUUUGAAUUUUUUGGUUAGCGAAGAGAAUCCUGCAGUUAUAAUAAUUCCUUUGCAGGCGGAUUUCUCUUUGCAUCCACACUGACCAGUACCACAAAAGAGGAAAAGCUUUGGUGUGUGUUGUAUGGUCAACAGACAGUGGAGGUUGGGAAACAGCUUGUUCAUUUCCACAGUCUCCAGUCAAUUAGGUGAAUUCAACCUCUACAGAAAAAUAGUUUUUAUUUGGAGUGUCUGGUCUAAUGCAUUGAUCAAUGACAAGGAUGUUUGUGAACUCAUGUGAUUUUCUGCAGGGGACCUGAGCUAAUUCAGUUGAUCAAACCUUGCUUUCUUGAUUGACAGCACUUAGACCAAUGGAUGACAUCAUCCCUCUUGAGCAGGAGCCUCAUUUCCAUUCCUUUCAGGUCCCCUGUUGUUGCUGUUUAUUCCUGGCAUUUCCCCCCAUGUGUCUUUCUUCAUAAAAAUUUCACUUUUCCUUUACUUUUGUUAGUAUUUCUUGCUCACUUGAGUCAUGAAAUAUUUACUGAGUGUUAUCACAUGUUGAGCACAAGGGGGUGUGCUUGGGAGAUACGGUACGUGUAAGACACGUCAGUGCAGGUAAAUUGGGGAGCUGUGUCUGAUGUCAGGGCCAAAGUUAGUAUUUCCUGACUAUUUGAAGAAGCACCCUGACAGGACCCAAGAAAUAAAGGUGUUGUCUCGCCUGCGCUGUGCAGUUGGAUGCCCGAGCCUUUUCUUCAGGCUUCUGUCUCCUCAUAAUUUGUGUCUUUUCCUUCACAAGAUUUUUGUUUCAAGGUUAAAAAAGUAGUUGUUGUGAUUGUCACUCAUAUUAACCACCAGAAGGUCAAUGGGUUUGUGAAGAAGAAAGAUCCGGAAGGAGAAAGUUCCGGUGUACUGUCCACUUUCAUGCACAUUCCUUUGCAUGUCUCAGACGUGGGCCCACUUCCCAGAGAAAGGCCUUCAGGAUGGCCCUGGUCCCGAUGCCACACAGGAGCGUGCUACAGUGCACAAGUUCUAGUGCAUGAGUACCAGUCAGGUGACUUUGAGAGGGGACAGGGUGGUGACAUUGGGGCAAGGGGAGUUUAGCUCUGAGCCACUUCUGCUGUCUCCAUGAGGCCUGGAUUAAGGCCUUUCAAAGCCAUAAACACUGGGAAGCUUCUGUGGCCAGUCCUCUUCCCCACCAGCAC
rnacentral:lncRNA from 1 species